UAGGGAAUAUUGCUCAAUGGGGGAAACCCUGAAGCAGCAACGCCGCGUGAGUGAUGAAGGCAUUCGGGCCGUAAAGCUCUGUCGCAGGGGAAAAUCUAAGAUGGUACCCUGUAAGGAAGGCCCGGCCAACUUCGUGCCAGCAGCCGCGGUAAUACGGGGGGUCCUAGCGUUGUUCGGGAUCACUGGGCGUAAAGCGUUUGUAGGUGGCUUUGUAAGUUAAAUGUGAAAGCCUGGGGCCUAACCCCAGAAGUGCAUUUAAUACUGCAGAGCUUGAGUAUGAGAGAGGAAGGUGGAAUACCUGGUGUAGUGGUGAAAUACGUAGAUAUCAGGUGGAACAUCGGCGGCGAAAGCGGCCUUCUGGCUUAAUACUGACACUGAAAAACGAAAGCGUGGGGAUCAAACAG
rnacentral:rRNA from 1 species